UUGCCACAUCUGGGGACCGCGAGCCUAAUAAAAUUCAUCCAGGGACGAUUCUGAAGUCGGUGCAAACAUCCAGGGACCAAUGUGACUAUUUACCCCAAUUAUAUUCCUCAAACCCGCAGUUUUACGGUUUUGGCUUCCACACCACAAGAGAAGAAGGAAUGCGCGAUGGAAAUUUUCAACCUCAGAAUAAUACGAAAGACAUUCGGCAUCCUUCGCCUCCGAGGUGACACAAGCUGAUUCAAAGGCCUUAUGGGAAUGGUGAUUUAAGAGCCAUGAAAUUGGUCAAGGGCAUUUUGAGGACACUGGUGUUAAUAAAAACAAUGUUAGCAAAGAAUGGACAUAGGACAAUCAUGGAGGAAUUCAACCUUCCUUACAGGACCUUUAACAAUAUGGAAUUUAAGCUUAAUGACUUUCGGGGUGUUCAGCCCUCCAUCCCUCAUCUGUUGCAGAGGGUGGCCUCUCUUCGGAGUCCCCCGGCGAUAGUUGGUGCUGCAGCGUGGCCAGCUACGAAGCUCCCCUCUACUUGGAGCCGUCCUAGGGAGGAGGUGAUCAAGCUUAAUUUCAAUGCCUCCCUUUCGCCUUCCAAGUUUUCUGGCCUCGGUUUGAUUGCGAGGAAUCAUAAAGGUGUGGUAAUGGCUGCUGCAGCUCUAUACCAUUUGGCUGCUCCUUCUCCCUUGCUGGCGGAAGUUGGCUUUCCGCAUCAAAGAGGAAAACUGAGAGCUGGAUCUUGCCAUUGUGGUCGGCGGUUUCUGCAUCCGCUUCUGGUACCUAUUAAAUCUGUUCCAUUGCAUGAUGAGGAAAUGCCGUGAAUGGUGAACCAAUCUGGAGGAGCCACAUUGGCAUUAAGUCCCCCAUGGAGAGGAUUCUAAAAUUUAGUCACUGACUCCUGGUGUCCAGGAGAUUAAUCACAAUCUGGUGGUUUCAGAUUCAAUAAAUCUCAUGGUUGACCAGUGAUACUGCUACUUAUGGAGAAGGACUAAUUUUAUUAUUAGAAAGGAUAGCUGCAUGGAAAUGUCUUGUGAGUGUAACUAACUAGUGGAUGAUGGAUUUCAAGUGGCACCAACAUAUAGCAACACAAAAUUUCUGAAGAGAAUUAAAAUAUAAACAAAGCUAGUGGAAGAAAUAUAAUGAUACAAGUACCCUGAGGAGGAAAUUAAAUAACUAACGACUUAGGAGAUAAGCAUGCUGUUAAUGAAACAGGUGAGUUUAGGAUGGUUGUUCUCUACAAAUACUUUAAAUGUAUAUUACUGGCCUAAUUCAUUAUUUCUAAUGUUGGGAAACCACUCUUUUCUUUAGUAGAUAAAAUGAAUGAACUAGUAUGGAUAGCCUAAAUGGUACUUGAUGGAUUAAAAUUUCCCAAGUCCUGGGUUCAAAUCCUACUGGUACCUAGAUACCAAAAAAAAUAGAUAAAAUGAAGAAAUUCAAUGCCAAACUUUAUAAUGGAAGGGUGCUUGAUAGGCAUGGUAUGAGCUCUGAUCUGAAUUGAAAACUGAAUAUCUAUGCCAGAAACUGAGAAAAGUAACAUAAUUAGGAUCAAAUUUGUUAGAGCAUUCUAGCAGAAAAUAACUGUAGAUUUGAUAAGUGGAAUCUGAUUUAGAAUGCAUUCCAGAUGAGCAAGGUUAAAGCUUUGGCGUUAUAGUAGAUGAAGAUAGUCUUCCCAAAAUGGUGGUGAUGACUAUCUUAGAAGUCUCUAAUUGGUUAUGGUUUUAAAUGCUACAUACUUAGAUCUUAUACUAAGUCAAGUGCUUCCCUAGGGUGUUUAUUCACUAUGAAUUUGGGCAUUUUUAAGUCCAUUGUUAACUGCCUUGAAAGUUGGCUGGGGCGGCAUCUUAUGUAUGAUUGGAAUUUGAGCUAUUAAUUUUAAUUUCAAAAGUAUGUGCAUAAGAUUUGAAAGUCCCUAAAUCCCGCCACAAAUGAACUAAUGUUUGAUAAUAAUCUUAGCUCUACGUUGGCUGUGAUUCACAUAUUCAUUUCUACUGUGCAAUUAAUAUUAACUUUAAGUCUGAUUUUCUCUCUCCCUCCCUCCAGCCUUGCUACUUCAUAAGGUCCUAGUUGCUGAGAGAAGUGAGAAUUGUAAUUGAUACACAGAAAGACUUGGUAUCUGAGUUCAUUGUCGUUACACCUACAAAAAGAGUACAAACUCUCCAUGUGUAAUUCAGAUAGUAAGUUUUUUCUAUCUCCCGUGGAUAGGGGUAAUCCUUACAAGUUAAGAAGAUGCGUAAUGUAAAAAAUGUCUCUCCUAAUCUAUCUCAGCCAGCUACAGUGCAAGAUUUAGUUCCCAUUCAAGAAAGAAAUUACACGUAGGAAGACAUCUUCACUGCAAGGAAUUUGUAAGGCACCGAUGGGUUGAUCAUAUCCAAACUCUUCCGCAGCUUGAUUUAGCGAGUCUUGAAAGAAAGGAUGGUUCAAGAAGGAUAUAGGGAUUACAUACCGCUUCUGUUUCUCUCCAACAUACACUGCAAGAUAGCCCUUCGGCACUUCAACAAUAGGUUUUGAUGCUUCUUCUCUAUUAGUGGGCGAUGCCUGUUGAAUAGCUUUUAAACGGAAACCCAUUGUUUGUGCUUGUCUGAGGACAGAAAAGAAAAGCACAGAUCUCAAAGUUCAGCAGAUAUGGUAAAUACUUGAGGAUGCCAAUGACUUGUGUUGUUUGUGAAGGCAGGAAAUGUGCAAUUAUAGUUUUUACUUUUUAGGUUCUUUGGAAACCCAAGUCUAAUUGUUAAAUGGAGGGCCUAUUAUCUAAUUUGAAAGUGUAAUAGAAAAAGUAAUUAUCAAAUAGAGAAAUUGAAUGUUACUCCUGAUAAGAAAUUUACGGGAUUCCCUAUUUCAGGGGAUAAUAAGUUCCAAAAAUAGGU